ACAGUCUCCAUCCAACCUGACAGAGCGUGUGAGGAUCUGCAGAAAAGAAUGGCAGAACAUCCCCAAAUCCAGGGUAUUGAGUGUAGAUUGAUGAGCUCAAUAAGGAUUGGAACAACAUUGACGGGGGGAAACACCCAAAGUCCAUCACUCAUGCACCGAGGAUCUGGCUGAUUACUGGAAAUUUGGAAGAUUGUUCUUUAUCUGCACUGUCACUUCUGUUAUUAAGGAGCAGUGGGCUGCAG